rnacentral:rRNA from 1 species
UGCAGUCGAGCGGAUGAUGAAGAAGCUUGCUUCUUCUGAUUUAGCGGCGGACGGGUGAGUAACACGUGGGCAACCUGCCCUGUAGAUUGGGAUAACUCCGGGAAACCGGGGCUAAUACCGAAUAAUCCAUUCCUUCACAUGGGGGAAUGUUAAAAGACGGUUUCGGCUGUCACUACAGGAUGGGCCCGCGGCGCAUUAGCUAGUUGGUGAGGUAACGGCUCACCAAGGCGACGAUGCGUAGCCGACCUGAGAGGGUGAUCGGCCACACUGGGACUGAGACACGGCCCAGACUCCUACGGGAGGCAGCAGUAGGGAAUCUUCCACAAUGGACGAAAGUCUGAUGGAGCAACGCCGCGUGAGUGAAGAAGGUUUUCGGAUCGUAAAACUCUGUUGUGAGGGAAGAACAAGUACGAGAGUAACUGCUCGUACCUUGACGGUACCUCAUUAGAAAGCCACGGCUAACUACGUGCCAGCAGCCGCGGUAAUACGUAGGUGGCAAGCGUUGUCCGGAAUUAUUGGGCGUAAAGCGCGCGCAGGCGGUCCUUUAAGUCUGAUGUGAAAGCCCACGGCUCAACCGUGGAGGGUCAUUGGAAACUGGGGGACUUGAGUGCAGAAGAGGAAAGUGGAAUUCCAAGUGUAGCGGUGAAAUGCGUAGAGAUUUGGAGGAACACCAGUGGCGAAGGCGACUUUCUGGUCUGUAACUGACGCUGAGGCGCGAAAGCGUGGGG